rnacentral:rRNA from 1 species
UAGGGAAUCUUCCGCAAUGGACGCAAGUCUGACGGAGCAACGCCGCGUGAGUGAAGAAGGAUUUCGGUUCGUAAAACUCUGUUGUUAGAGAAAAACAGCGCAUAGAGUAACUGUUAUGCGUGUGACGGUAUCUAACCAGAAAGCCACGGCUAACUACGUGCCAGCAGCCGCGGUAAUACGUAGGUGGCAAGCGUUGUCCGGAUUUAUUGGGCGUAAAGCGAGCGCAGGCGGUCAAUUAAGUCUGAUGUGAAAGCCCCCGGCUCAACCGGGGAGGGUCAUUGGAAACUGGUUGACUUGAGUGCAGAAGAGGAGAGUGGAAUUCCAUGUGUAGCGGUGAAAUGCGUAGAUAUAUGGAGGAACACCAGUGGCGAAGGCGACUCUCUGGUCUGUAACUGACGCUGAGGCUCGAAAGCGUGGGUAGCAAACAGG